ACAGCCCCAGUUUUCUUACAUAGCUAAAAAUAUAGCUGCUACAACUGGGUCUAAGUGGCUGCUGGAGUCAAUUGUCAGAUGAGGCCCCGGGUCCAGAGAAGCCACUGGAAAUAUAGCAGUACAGAGGUCUGCAGCCUGUUUGGUCAUUUGGCAGUAACACCUGGUGGGGUCAGCAGGAAGAGGGACCCCCUGCUUCUGGAACCUCUUCCCCAGGCAAAGCAGGGGCUCAGGGGUCUGCAAGUUGAAAAGUGAUGUGCUAGGUGCUAUCUCUGGAGAGUAGCCAUUCUCUGCCAUGCUCAUUGCUGUCUCUGCAGAUUUAUUAGUAGUAAUCCAGAAAUCUGGUGUGGUGUAAAUACUGCUUUAAUAACUGCCUGAGGCAUGCUACUGACCUUAUUAGAAUGGGAAAGUUGUGUGUAUGGAGGGCACAAUUAAUUGCCACAUGGCUCCUGAACGAAUCAUGCUGCUAUGGAUAAGGCAGGCCAGAGGAGUUCAUUGGAAGAGCCCAGCUCGAAAGCUUAAAACUAGCUACCCUUCCAGUCCUUGGCAUCUGGGAAAUCUCCUGGGCAACAGAUUCUGAUAAUGAAUAUUCAUGCUUAUUUUAAUCACUUUGUGAAAACUCAUGCCUUGACCCUCUUAUCUAAAUUCAGAAAAAUAACCUUCCAUUACAUAUACCAAUGAACAAAUUACAGAUCAGAAAAUAGCAGGAUUGGCAUAAAUUUAUCCAUUAUGUUAAAAAAAUAUAUGGUUGAACUUGUCUCAUGUUUGUUACAAGACGCUCUUGACUGUGAACUUUUGCUCAAUUUUGUUUUGUCUAAAAAUGGAUGCUGAAGUGCUAAUGACUUCUGGGAAAUCUUUGUGUAGCAUGAGACACUACUACAAAUGGAAAAAUCCUGUAACAAAUUGAUGAGGCAAGGGAAUAUCAACAUUCCGUUUUGAAGUUCUGACCUUGGGACUACAUUUGAAUUGUGUUUUCAUUAACUUUGGAGAUAGUGGAAUACUGCGGUGUUGCUGUAACAAAGAAUUUAGCAAUCACAUCAAAUCAUGGUCAGAAAUUGUACAAAUGCUGACUGUGCUUUCAUUGUUAAUUUCGUGUAUCUCUUGAUGUGGGUUUUUCUCUACCUUAUCACAUCUCCAGUACUAUUAGAGGAAGGGGAUAAAGGGGAUUUUCUCUUCCUCACAAGCACAUAAGGGCAGAGGAAGGGGAAAGGCAGAACUAGAAAUAGGCAAAUAAUAAUAAUAAUAACUGAAUAUUUUUUGCAAAUAAAAGUGGCAGGUAUAGAUCA
rnacentral:lncRNA from 1 species